rnacentral:rRNA from 1 species
AACGCUGGCGGCGUGCCUAACACAUGCAAGUCGAACGAGAAAGUUGGCUUCGGCCGAUGAGUAAAGUGGCGCACGGGUGAGUAACGCGUGGAUAAUCUGCCCUUAGUUUGGAAUAACGUACCGAAAGGUGCGCUAAUACCGGAUAAUACUGAAUGACUACUGUCGUUUAGUCAAAGAAGGCUUCUGUUUACAUGCUUUUGCUGAAGGAUGAGUCCGCGUACCAUUAGCUAGUUGGUAGGGUAAUGGCCUACCAAGGCGACGAUGGUUAGCUGGUCUGAGAGGAUGAUCAGCCACACUGGAACUGAGACACGGUCCAGACUCCUACGGGAGGCAGCAGUGAGGAAUAUUGCGCAAUGGGGGAAACCCUGACGCAGCAACGCCGCGUGAGUGAGGAAGGCCUUCGGGUCGUAAAGCUCUGUCAGAUGGGAAGAAAUGGAUGGGGGCUAAUAUCGCCCAUCCUUGACGGUACCAUCAGAGGAAGCACCGGCUAACUCCGUG